CGAAAGCCUGACGGAGCAAUACCGCGUGAGGGAGGAAGGCUUUUGGGUUGUAAACCUCAAAAAUUAGGGAAGAAGAAAGUGACGGUACCUAAUCUAAGCAUCGGCUAACUCCGUGCCAGCAGCCGCGGUAAUACGGAGGAUGCAAGUGUUAUCCGGAAUCAUUGGGCGUAAAGCGUCCGCAGGUGGCUCAUCAAGUCUGCUGUUAAAGACAGAAGCUCAACUUCUGAUAGGCAGUGGAAACUGGUGAGCUGGAGUACGGUAGGGGUUGAGGGAAUUCCCAGUGUAGCGGUGAAAUGCGUAGAUAUUGGGAAGAACACCAGUGGCGAAGGCGCUCUACUGGGCUUGUACUGACGCUGAGGGACGAAAGCUAGGGUAGCG
rnacentral:rRNA from 1 species